UCGGACGGGAUUGAGGAGCUUGCUUCUCAUGAGAGUGGCGCACGGGUGCGUAACACGUAUGUAACCUACCUUGUUCAGGGGGAUAGCCUCUCGAAAGAGAGAUUAACACCGCAUAAAAUCAAUUUAUGGCAUCAUAGAAUGAUCAAAUAUUUAUAGGAACAAGAUGGGCAUGCGGAACAUUAGCUAGUUGGUAAGGUAACGGCUUACCAAGGCUACGAUGUUUAGGGGAUCUGAGAGGAUGACCCCCCACACUGGUACUGAGACACGGACCAGACUCCUACGGGAGGCAGCAGUAAGGAAUAUUGGUCAAUGGACGCAAGUCUGAACCAGCCAUGCCGCGUGCAGGAAGACGGCCCUACGGGUUGUAAACUGCUUUUGUACCGGAAUAAACCUUUUCACGUGUGAGAAGCUGAAUGUACGGUAAGAAUAAGGAUCGGCUAACUCCGUGCCAGCAGCCGCGGUAAUACGGAGGAUCCAAGCGUUAUCCGGAUUUAUUGGGUUUAAAGGGUGCGUAGGUGGCCUAUUAAGUCAGGGGUGAAAGACGGUAGCUUAACUAUCGCAGUGCCUUUGAUACUGAUGGGCUUGAAUACACUUGAGGUAGGCGGAAUGUGACAAGUAGCGGUGAAAUGCAUAGAUAUGUCACAGAACACCAAUUGCGAAGGCAGCUUACUAAAGUGUUAUUGACACUGAGGCACGAAAGCGUGGGGAUCAAACAGGAUUAGAUACCCUGGUAGUCCACGCCCUAAACGAUGAAUACUCGAUGUUGGCGAUAUACGGUCAGCGUCUAAGCGAAAGCGUUAAGUAUUCCACCUGGGGAGUACGCCCGCAAGGGUGAAACUCAAAGGAAUUGACGGGGGCCCGCAC
rnacentral:rRNA from 1 species